AUUGAACGCUGGCGGCAGGCCUAACACAUGCAAGUCGAACGAGCGGCGGACGGGUGAGUAAUGUCUGGGAAACUGCCUGAUGGAGGGGGAUAACUACUGGAAACGGUAGCUAAUACCGCAUACCAUCAGAUGUGCCCAGAUGGGAUUAGCUAGUCGGUGGGGUAAUGGCUCACCAAGGCGACGAUCCCUAGCUGGUCUGAGAGGAUGACCAGCCAACAUGGAACUGAGACACGGUCCAGACUCCUACGGGAGUCAGCAGUGGGGAAGAUUGCACAAUGGGCGGAAGCCUGAUGCAGCCAUGCCGCGUGUGUGAAGAAGGCCUUCGGGUUGUAAAGUACUUUCAGCGGGGAGGCGUUACCCGCAGAAGAAGCACCGGCUAACUCCGUGCCAGCAGCCGCGGUAAUUC
rnacentral:rRNA from 1 species